UCGGGAAUUUUGGGCAAUGGGCGAAAGCCUGACCCAGCAACGCCGCGUGAAGGAUGAAGUAUUUCGGUAUGUAAACUUCGAAAGAAUAGGAAGAAUAAAUGACGGUACUAUUUAUAAGGUCCGGCUAACUACGUGCCAGCAGCCGCGGUAAUACGUAGGGACCAAGCGUUGUUCGGAUUUACUGGGCGUAAAGGGCGCGUAGGCGGCAAUUCAAGUCAUCUGUGAAAUCUCUGGGCUUAACCCAGAACGGCCAAGUGAUACUGUCGCGCUAGAGUGCAGAAGGGGCAAUCGGAAUUCUUGGUGUAGCGGUGAAAUGCGUAGAUAUCAAGAGGAACACCUGAGGUGAAGACGGGUUGCUGGGCUGACACUGACGCUGAGGCGCGAAAGCCAGGGGAGCAAACGGGAUUAGAUACCCCAGUAGUCCCUGAGCGGGCUGGCAAGGCGCAU
rnacentral:rRNA from 1 species